UUCCAGAGAUGGAUUGGUGCCUUCGGGAACUCUGACACAGGUGCUGCAUGGCUGUCGUCAGCUCGUGUCGUGAGAUGUUGGGUUAAGUCCCGUAACGAGCGCAACCCUUGCCUUUAGUUGCCAGCAGUUCGGCUGGGCACUCUAAAGGGACUGCCGGUGUUAAACCGGAGGAAGGUGGGGAUGACGUCAAGUCCUCAUGGCCUUUAUGACCAGGGCUACACACGUACUACAAUGGCCGAUACAAAGGGCAGCGACACUGCGAGGUGAAGCCAAUCCCGUAAAAUCGGUCUCAGUCCGGAUUGGAGUCUGCAACUCGACUCCAUGAAGUUGGAAUCGCUAGUAAUCGUGGAUCAGCAUGCCACGGUGAAUACGUUCCCGGGCCUU
rnacentral:rRNA from 1 species